rnacentral:tmRNA from 1 species
UUUCUUCACUUUUAAUACUAAAAAUCCUAUAAUCAUUGUGUCGGGUUUUCCCGACUAUGACGCUACACGCGGUUGCGGAAUAAGCGUUCGUGGACCCGGGGGCAGUACCCGGCAGCUCCACCAGUAUUUGCUUUUUAAACGAGGGGUAAAUGCCGGCGGGGCUGAAACAGGAUCGACACGCGUAGUAAAGGCUUCAUGCGGCGUUCGGCUUUCCGCCGUUACCGGAUACUCGUUAUAAAUGCAAACGAUAAUCAUGCAUUUGUAGCAGCCAACGACAACUCUGUUGUUGCUGGUGAAGCGAUUGCCGCUUAAUUGCGAAAAUCGUGCGCUACGCACAUAAUUCCUAAGACUUAAUGCGUUUUAGGUGGGGCCCGGCGGUGCCUAGUAACAGAAACCGCCACU